rnacentral:snRNA from 1 species
AUACUUACCUGGCAGGGGAGAUACCAUGAUCAAGAAGGUGGUUCACCCAGGGCGAGGCUCAGCCAUUGCACUCCGGUUGUGCUGACCCCUGCGAAUUCCCCAAAUGUGGGAAUCUCGACUGCAUGAAUGUAGUUGUCAAUGAUCACUGUAGUCUUUGU